CAGAAAUCUCACCCUGCUCACAGAGGGGAGAAAUGGAUUAUAAAGGGGCAAGACUGGCUGGAAGACUGAUUGGGAAUCUACAGUAGGAAUACAAAGAUAGGUGUUGGUAGGCUGGGCCAGGUGGAAGCUGUGCUGAUGAAGAGAAAUUGACAGAUUUAAGAAAUCUGUGGGCGGCAAGAUGACAUUUCCUGGUGAUGGAUUCAGUGUGAGAGGAUGUGGAGAAAUAGGAACGCUUUUACACUGUUGACAGGACUGUAAAUUAGUU
rnacentral:lncRNA from 1 species